rnacentral:tRNA from 1 species
GGUUCCAUAGUGUAGCGGUUAGCAGGUCUGCUUUACAUGCAGAAGGUCCUGGGUUCCGGCCCCAGUGGAGCCA